rnacentral:rRNA from 1 species
CCUACGGGUGGCAGCAGUGAGGAAUAUUGGUCAAUGGCCGGAAGUCUGAACCAGCCAAGCCGCGUGAAGGACGAAGGUGCCAAGCAUUGUAAACUUCUUUUGUCAAGGGACAAAAUCAGGCUCGCGAGCCUGACCGAGCGUACUUUACGAAAAAGCAUCGGCUAACUCCGUGCCAGCAGCCGCGGUAAUACGGAGGAUGCGAGCGUUAUCCGGAUUUAUUGGGUUUAAAGGGUGCGUGGGCGGACUGUUAGGUCAGCGGUAAAAGCCCGGGGCUCAACCCGGGCGAGCCGUUGAAACUGGCGGGAUUGAGAGGGGGAGAGGUAGGCGGAAUG